rnacentral:rRNA from 1 species
AGCGAACGCUGGCGGCAGGCCUAACACAUGCAAGUCGAACGACCCUUCCGGGGUUAGUGGCGGACGGGGGAGAAACACGUGGGAAGGUGCCUUAAGGUUCGGAAAACCUCAGGGAAACUGGUGCUAAUACCGAAUGUGCCCUCCGGGGGAAAGAUUAAUCGCCUUUAGACCGGCCCGCGUCUGAUUAGCUAGUUGGUUGAGGUAAUGGCUCACCAAGGCGACGAUCAGUAGCUGGUCUGAGAGGAUGAUCAGCCACAUUGGGACUGAGACACGGCCCAAACUCCUACGGGAGGCAGCAGUGGGGAAUCUUGCGCAAUGGGCGAAAGCCUGACGCAGCCAUGCCGCGUGAAUGAUGAAGGUCUUAGGAUUGUAAAAUUCUUUCACCGGGGACGAUAAUGACGGUACCCGGAGAAGAAGCCCCGGCUAACUUCGUG